rnacentral:rRNA from 1 species
UACAGAGGUCUCAAGCGUUGUUCGGAUUCAUUGGGCGUAAAGGGUGCGUAGGUGGCAUGGUAAGUCGGAUGUGAAAUCCCGGGGCUCAACCCCCGGAACUGCAUUCGAUACUGCUGCGCUAGAGUACUGGAGAGGAGAUUGGAAUUUACGGUGUAGCAGUGAAAUGCGUAGAUAUCGUAAGGAAGACCAGUGGCGAAGGCGGAUCUCUGGACAGUUACUGACACUGAGGCACGAAGGCCAGGGGAGCAAACGGGG